CACGUCUUAAAUUGGUCGUAAUAAACAUUUCUUCCAAAAGGCGCCGUCGCCUGUUAGCACGCCGCCAUUUGUCGUGUUGUCGGUGUGUGGGUGAGGCUGGAAAUUAGCGCCGAAUUAUUGGUAAUUUGGUUCUUAUAGGUAAAAUUAGCAUUUUUUUAAAUAAUUUAGAUCAUGUUUGUAUAUUUGAAUAGCCUCAACGUUCAUGUGCGUCGGUAUAAAUAUUGAGAUAUCGCGAUAGAAUUUAUGAUGAUUUUGUAGGCUAUCAUGGCGCAUGAUUUCCGCGGUAUAAUAUUCUAAUUAUUUACAAAAUGUAUUGCUAUUUACAAGGUUAUAGUUUAUCUUAAUGUAAAUAAUAGGCAUAGUUUGUUGUUUGGGGCAAUUGUUGAUUAGGGAGGCACAUUGAACUGCCCACAGUAGCUAGAAAUGUUGUGGCCUGGCAGGUUGUGCAAAAGUUUGUAGUGUGGCCAUAUCAUUUAUUCUUGUCAAUUAUCUGUGCAAGCAGGGACCAAUAGGAUAUAUCUUUUAGUUUUUAAUAAAAAGUUAAGCUUCGGCUUAUGCUAGGUUAUUCAUACUUGCAUUCUAAGUGGCUUUGUCAUGGAUUCAUAGAACAAUAAUAGAAGUGGUGACUGCAAAUGUGUCUGUUUUUCCACAGCUCAUCAAAGCACCACCUCCUCGCUGUAGCGGUGGGCGUCACCACAGUUUUGUUCAGGAAGCUUGUGAUAAUGGUACCUACCGUCCUACCUUGAGGAAUUUUCAAUCAAAAAAUGAUAUGAUUAACUUCUUUGGAAUUAAGCGGACUAACUACAGCUACAUUUGUAUUAUGUGCAGCGCUCAUGCAAGACAGCAGGCCAGGAUGCAGGGACACACAGCUGCAGGGGAUCAGCUGGGAGAACCUGCAGCGCAUUCUCCAAGAGACGACGGAAGCCAACGGAGGCCCGCAAAACUUUCCACCCCAUAAUCGUGAAUGGAGAGCUGGGCGGGGAAGACGCGGUAUUCGUCCAGGCCCAGGAGGUGGUAUCGGCGCCACCAGACCAAGCAUUCCUGCUGUGGCAGGCCGCCUUUUGGAUUUUUAACAUCAAAACUCCUAAAAACAUGGUCAAUCUGAAUUGGUUUCUGAGAACCGAAGUGUUUGGUGGAGUGAAGGCCGAUGUGCCGCCAUCAGCGGCGGCCAUCGCGACCGUGAAGCAAGUGGAGUGAGAUCCCCGUAGAGCAUGCCGCGGCGGGGUGUCGGAAGCGUUUGCCAAUUCUUUGAGCCUUCCAUCGGCGCGGACUAUAAAUACACAUUUCAAUACACAUUUCUUGAAA
rnacentral:lncRNA from 1 species